AGAAAAAUGGCCGAAUUAUAAGCGAUAUAUUGUAAAUAUAUUUAUGAAUUUUAUUCUUUUUCUA
rnacentral:tRNA from 1 species